CAUAGUCACAGUAUAUAAUGAGACAAGGACAUCAUUAACCCCUCGUAGUCACAGUAUAUGAGACACGGAUAGUAUACAAUGAGACAAGGAUAUCAUUAAUCCCUCAGUCACAGUAUAUAAUGAGACAAGGAUAUCAUUAACCCCUCAUAGUCACAGUAUAUAAUGAGACAAGGACAUCAUUAACCCCUCGUAGUCACAGUAUAUAAUGAGACACAGACAUCAUUAACC